GGCCCUACAGGCUUCCCGCGCUCCGCCGCCCCGCGGAGCCGCACUGCCUCUCCGCGGUGCGCGGACCAGGGUCGGGCGGGCAGACAGCGCUUGGGGUGUUGCGGCGACUCCGGCAACAUGGCGGCCCGCCUGGAGUCCACUCGCGGCUGGGCCGGGUGGGGAACGCGCCGGGGGGAAGGGGACGCGCGGUUUCCCGUGGCCGCGGGGCUGGUGCCGACCUCGAAGUGUUGCACAUCGUUGUGCGUUUUAAAAGUGCAUCGUAAUUCCUAGCCUCACUUGGGGGUCUGAAGUGGGACAUGGCUUCUUUCCACGGGGGCAGCAGUGGGGUUGAGGAUGGGGCCGGGCGUCGCGCCUCAGGGUUGGCGGUGAGACCGAGCUGUCCCUCUCCGGGGACUGGUAGUUCACCCGACCGGCGCCGGUCUCCGGAGGCAGCCUACUCCGGAAGUCCGGGAAAGAGAAACUUAAAAGACGGUAAUGCUCGUUCGUGUCUCAGACUUGAGUCUGAGAAACUCGCUUGAGAUUUAAUUACAUUGUUUUGGCAGAUAGGAAUUGAAUAUAGCUUAGGUUUGAGGACGUAGUUAGUGAAAACUUCACACUCCAUGGUAUGUAAAAAGGAAAAGUACCCAUGUAUGUACCUGGUGCUUUGCGUACGUAUCGUAAGGCUAAACUGGAAAGUAGUGAAACCUAGGAGGUAGAUGCAGAGACGGAGAAGAGUAAACUCUCCCGACAGUGUAUGUUUAUUAUUUUUAAAAUUAUUUAAAAUUUUCUUCACUAUGUCCUGUGCUCAGGCACGUAUGUUUAGUAGGUAAUUUGUGCCCAGGUCUGUGGGUUUUCUAAAACCCGAUCAGGAGCAUGUCUUUUGUUCAACUGUGCAGUCGAGUGGGGCUGGUUAAGGCAUACAUACAUUUUAAAGCAGAAAUUGGCACAUACCGUGACAACACAAAAAACGGAAGAUAAGUUUGAGGUAAUAAUAUAAGCAGGAGAAAUACUAGGUGUUUAAAACCUGCAGUCUAGUAUGAUUGGUUAUUCUAGUUAACAUUAGGUGAGGAGUAAUGUUACCUAGUUAACAUUGGCUUCUUGACUGAAGAAUUGCCAAGUGUAAUGAUUUUUAUCAUGGCAUUCAUAUUUUACAAAUUUUUCUCUAGUUUCAGUAUUUUAUGACAGUUUAAUAUAGUAAAGCAUAUAGUAAAUUUAAUGUUUUGUUUUUUAGUUUCAGGAAGAUGUAAGAUAAAAUUUCAAAACGAGGGAGGUAAAUUGCAGUGUAAUACUGGGAAUUCUAACCGCACUAUUUUUAAGAUGAUAAAGCAGAAUAUUUUUGUCUCCGGCUUAAUUUGGCAGUUUCUUUUUAGAAUUGUAGUGUGUGUGUAAGAAGGUUGGAAGUAUCAGAUUAAUUGCCUUUGUGUAAUUGAAAUGCAUACAAAGGAGGUAUGUAUUUUCUGGAAAUCAUAAGUGGAUGUGGUGUGGUCUGAAAGUUAGCAAGUUCUUUGUAAAGAACACUUCAAACAUUUCACUCUGCUACACCCAUCAUCAAGCACAAACGUUUUUUAAACAGCAUGUUUUAUCUAUACAAACUUAAGAAAAUUUAUUUCUCCUUUAUGAACCUUCCCCCACCCCACCAUACAUGUCCCAGUCUUUACUAAUGAUGAAGUACUGAAAGCGCCUCUGCAGAACUAUUUUUUUACGCAGGGGAAAAGCAAAUAAGAAUGUUUGGAGGCAUCUAGUUUCUAGGAAAAUGAAUAGAGCCCAAUUUUUUUUUUCUUUUAUUUUGCUGCUUUUUCUCAAUGAAAAAUAGAGCCCAAUUUUAUAGUCCGUUCCUCUCCAGACAUUGAAUUAUGAUGAUGGGUACUUGCUUCUGGAUUGUUAGGCCUGGGAUGAACUAUUGACAGACUUAACCUUGUUAAUUUGAAUGAUACGCACCUGAAUGUGGUCUUUCAGCUGUUGUCUUCAGUUGUGGAGGAUCCUGUCAAGAGUGGAUCAUUUAUGAAUCGAGAAUCCCUGGGAAAUUUUUUUUUUUUUUUUUUUUUUUUGCAACAGAGUCGGCAUCAUCAUGGCUUGGGU